ensembl:snRNA U6 U6 spliceosomal RNA
UGCUCACUUCAGCAGCAAUUUACUAAACUUGAGAAGACAGGCAUGGCCCCUGCACUAGAAUGACAUGCAGGUUUGUAAAAGCCUUCCAUAUUUUU